GCCAAAAUUAUAUCCGACGUGGAUAAGGUUUUCUCCCUUGUCGGGUCUCUCCCUAGCCGCGUCGAUCCAGCAACCAAACUGGACCUAAUUCUUUCUCCUCCGCCUCUGUCCUCCUUCUUCAUCCUUGUUCUUCGGGCCUUCCUCGAUUUAUCCGCCAUCUCCCUUCUUCUUUGUCUUCUAUUGUCGCUUUGCUUCAGGGUCAGAUUUCAACUGGUAGUGUUAACAUCAUUCAAGAAUACAUGUUAUAUUGAAAUUCUUCCUACCUCUCAAGAAUCCAAAGGAGUAAUCUUCUUGAGCUUCUGGGCACAGAUUCAUUACAACUCAUCUACUUAAACAGAGAUACAUCUGCAACAAAGCUACAGAGGAGGAAAAAAUGGUGGCGUUUGGGGAACUAGACAGAGCAUGAAUCAUCAUCUCUGAGUUAUAUUAGUAUAUAUUGACCUGAAAUAGAAAAAGAGAGAGGGGGACGAGGUUCUUUGGAGCGAGAGGCUGGGAAGCCAUAAAUUGAAAAAAAGUUGGCUAAAAUGCCGUAUGUCUAAUAACUAAUAUAAUUUUCAUUUUUGUUUAAUAAGGAAAAUCCUGGAAAUUCUUUGUUUCUCCUCCUAUGCCUUUAUAAUCACAAGAAAACCAGGGUUAUACCCACCCGUUUUUACUCCUAC